CUGGUGUACUCAUGGUGCUAAGGAGACAAAGAGGACUACUUGAGCGCAUCCACCUCUGAACCUCAAUACCUGAAUAGAUCUUGCUUGGAAACAACAAUGGGUUAUUCAGAGGAAUGCAACAGCUGCACAGCUCAUGGAAGGACUCAUUUUACUUGGAAGCCCUAGAAGAUCACAGGCCAGGAUAAAAGCCGCAGCAAUUACCUGCUGCACAACACAAAAAGAUGUUCCUUUAAUUGUGCUUGAACUGCGUCACCUCCAUAACAUCAGGAAAGAGCACAUGAAGAUAACAAUUAAUUGUCAAGGGUGAAUGUGGCAAUCAGACUCAUCAGAUGCAGAAAAACGUUUGAACAAGAUUUAGAGCAUCCCCUGCAGCUGCAGUAUGAAAGCUCUGGAGAAAGAUCCCAUACACAACUAUGGCAACCAUAAGCCUAAUGCAGAGAACAAUACACCUCAUACAUUAAAAAAGCAGGGGGGGUUUAAAGGAGAUUGUUAGUACCUGUAAAGUCCUGGUUUUUUGCCAGAGUUUCUCUGAAUUUUCUAUAGAGCACAUUGGGAAAAGAUUACAUGAUUCAUUUAUAACAGUUGCAACACAGGCAUUUCAUGCUGAUCGGCAUUGACCAAUGUGAUCCAACAGACGCAUAUUUAAGGUAAUAAUUUGUGAGAAAUGAUUUUAUAGAGACUGUUGCUCAAAGCAGUUCACAAAAUGAAAUGAAAGGAAAUGAGAAUGUAAUACAGCAAGAAAAGUAUCUCAACUGUAAGCUCCAUUAGACAAGGAAACAGAACAAUGGACCCCUUAACACACUGCACUUUUGGCAGCAAAAGAUCUGGCACUCUUUUGUCUCCAAACUGGAGAUCCAUCAAAAGAAUUACUGCCCCUGCCCCUUUCUGCACUAGAUGGGGGCUGUGACAAGGGAGCACUGACUUGCUUCUGAGAGACCGGGAAGGAUGCAGGGCUGUGGAGGGGUCCUUUUAAAUGAGGAGUUCUGUGCAUAACUUAUGAGUAUAGACACAUCAUAACAUAUUCAAAUAAAGCAGAGAGCCCAUUGUUUGAAUCAUUUAAGCGGUCUGGAUGGAGUGCUAGAGAUUAUGCUGUCAGAGUCAUUCAUGUAUUGACAGGGGAAUUGGAUUAUAUAAAUGAAUAAAAAUAAGCUUGCAAA